UACGAAGGGUGCAAGCGUUACUCGGAAUUACUGGGCGUAAAGCGUGCGUAGGUGGUUUGUUAAGUCAGAUGUGAAAGCCCCGGGCUCAACCUGGGAAUUGCAUUUGAUACUGGCAGACUAGAGUGAGGUAGAGGAGAGUGGAAUUCCCGGUGUAGCAGUGAAAUGCGUAGAGAUCGGGAGGAACAUCAGUUGCGAAGGCGGCUCUCUGGACCAUCACUGACACUGAGGCACGAAAGCGUGGGGAGCAAACAGG
rnacentral:rRNA from 1 species